UUAAGGGUGCAGGGCGGAUGCCUUGGCACUAGGAGCCGAUGAAGGACGUGAUAAGCUGCGAUAAGCUUCGGGGAGUUGCACGUAAACUUUGAUCCGAAGAUUUCCGAAUGAGGAAACUCACUUAGAGUAAUGUCUAAGUAUCAUUAAGUGAAUACAUAGCUUAAUGAGGGGAACUCAGGGAACUGAAACAUCUAAGUACCUGAAGGAAGAGAAAGAAAUUCGAUUCCGUAAGUAGCGGCGAGCGAACGCGGAUUAGCCCAAACCAAUAAAGUUUUCUUUAUUGGGGUUGCGGACAUAUCAUAACGAAGAGGUAUCGUAAUUGAAGAGGUUUGGAAAGACCCACCACAGAAGGUAAUAGUCCUGUAUGUUAAACGAGAAGACUUUAGAUAUGAUCCAGAGUACCACGGGACACGUGAAACCCUGUGGGAAGCAGGAGGGACCACCCUCCAAGGCUAAAUACUACCUAGUGACCGAUAGCGUAUAGUACCGUGAGGGAAAGGUGAAAAGAACCCCGGGAGGGGAGUGAAAUAGAACCUGAAACCCUGCACUUACAAGCUGUGGAAGCACAUUUCUUGUGUGACCGCGUACUUUUUGUAGAACGGGCCAACGAGUUACGUUAAGUAGCAAGGUUAAGCACUUAAGGUGCGGAGCCGUAGCGAAAGCGAGUUUUAACUGAGCGUUCAGUUACUUGACGUAGACCCGAAACCGGGCGACCUACCCAUGAGCAGGAUGAAGCGAAAGUAAAAUUUCGUGGAGGUCCGAACCCACGAGCGUUGAAAAGCUCGGGGAUGACUUGUGGGUAGCGGUGAAAUUCCAAUCGAGCCCGGAGAUAGCUGGUUCUCCCCGAAAUAGCUUUAGGGCUAGCCUCAAGGUGAGAGAUACGGAGGUAGAGCACUGAAUGUCCUAGGGGGUAUUGCACCUACCGAAGACUAUCAAACUCCGAAUGCCGUCAUCUUAUACUUGGGAGUCAGACUGUGGGUGAUAAGAUUCAUAGUCGAAAGGGCAACAGCCCAGAUCGUCAGCUAAGGUCCCUAAAUGUAAGUUAAGUGGUAAAGGAUGUGGGAUUGCACAGACAACCAGGAUGUUGGCUUAGAAGCAGCCACUCAUUCAAAGAGUGCGUAAUAGCUCACUGGUCGAGUGAUCCUGCGCCGAAGAUUUCCGGGGCUAAAACUUACUACCGAAGCUACGGCAUCAGUAAUGAUGGGUAGGGGAGCUUCCCAUACGGGUUGAAGCAUGACCGUAAGGACAUGUGGACAGUAUGGGAGUGAGAAUGUUGGCAUGAGUAGCGAGAUGUGGGUGAGAAUCCCACAGGCCGUAAACCCAAGGUUUCCAGGGGAAGGUUCGUCCGCCCUGGGUUAGUCGGGACCUAAGCUGAGGCCGAAAGGCGUAGGUGAUGGACAACAGGUUGAUAUUCCUGUACUACCGAUAACCGUUUGAGAGAAGGGAUGACACAGUAGGAUAAGCUAAGCACACUGUUGGUUAUGUGUGCCCAAGCAUUGAGGCAGUCAAAGUAGGCAAAUCCGCUUUGAUAAUGCUGGGAUGUGAUGGGGAGCGAAAUUUAGUAGCGAAGUAGCUGAUUUCACACUGUCAAGAAAAGUCUCUAUCGAGGUUAAAGGUACCCGUACCGCAAACCGACACAGGUGGGUGAGGAGAGUAUCCUAAGGCCAGCGAGAGAACUGUUGUUAAGGAACUCGGCAAAAUGACCCCGUAACUUAGGGAUAAGGGGUGCCACCAUCAGGUGGCCGCAGAGAAUAGGCCCAAGCGACUGUUUACCAAAAACAUAGGUUUCUGCUAAGUCGCAAGACGAUGUAUAGGAGCUGACGCCUGCCCGGUGCUGGAAGGUUAAGGGGAUCUGUUAGAGCAAUCGAAGCAGUGAACUUAAGCCCCAGUAAACGGCGGCCGUAACUAUAACGGUCCUAAGGUAGCGAAAUUCCUUGUCGGGUAAGUUCCGACCCGCACGAAAGGCGUAACGAUUUGGGCACUGUCUCAACAACAGACUCGGUGAAAUUGUAAUUCCGGUGAAGAUGCCGGAUACCUGCGACAGGACGGAAAGACCCCAUGGAGCUUUACUGUAGCUUGACAUUGGGUCUUGGUACUACAUGUACAGGAUAGGUGGGAGGCUUUGAAACCAGGACGCCAGUUUUGGCGGAGCCAUCCUUGGGAUACCACCCUUGUAGUACUGGGACUCUAACCAUAGGCCAUGAAUCUGGUCUUGGGACACUGUCAGGUGGGCAGUUUGACUGGGGCGGUCGCCUCCCAAAAGGUAACGGAGGCGCUCAAAGGUUCUCUCAGUACGGUCGGAAAUCGUACGUAGAGUGUAAAGGCAAAAGAGAGCUUGAUUGCAAGACAUACAGGUCGAGCAAGGAUGAAAAUCGGACUUAGUGAUCCGGUGGUUCUGCGUGGAAGGGCCAUCGCUCAACGGAUAAAAGCUACCCUGGGGAUAACAGGCUUAUCUCCCCCAAGAGUCCACAUCGACGGGGAGGUUUGGCACCUCGAUGUCGGCUCAUCACAUCCUGGGGCUGUAGUAGGUCCCAAGGGUUGGGCUGUUCGCCCAUUAAAGUGGUACGCGAGCUGGGUUCAGAACGUCGUGAGACAGUUCGGUCCCUAUCCGUCGCAGGCGUAGGAAAUUUGAGAAGACCUGUCCUUAGUACGAGAGGACCGGGAUGGACGUACCUCUGGUGUACCAGUUGUCCUGCCAAGGGCAUGGCUGGGUAGCUAUGUACGGAAUGGAUAAGCGCUGAAAGCAUCUAAGCGCGAAGCCAACUUCAAGAUAAGAUUUCCCACCGCAAGGGUAAGACCCCAGAAAGACUAUCUGGUUGAUAGGUCGAAGGUGUAAGUGCAGCAAUGUAUUUAGCUUAUCGAUACUAAUAGGUCGAGGACUUGACCAA
rnacentral:rRNA from 3 species